rnacentral:lncRNA from 1 species
UGAGAGCAAUUAGAAGAGAAAUUGUGUGAAGCUGCUGGAUGAAUCGGUCAGCGCCAAGAGCUUCAGUUUUGCACGUUGCCAAAAGUGGGUUUGGUCAUUUGCACCGGAGAGAAAAUGAGAAAUUGCAACUUCGCAUUACAUGGAAAAUAAUUAAAAUAACUAAUGACUGAUUUUUAUUGAUGUUAAUGAUGCAGACAUAUGAAUGUUAAAUUCAAAGCGGCGUACAACCCAGUACAAACAUCAAUAAAAAAUCUUCCUAACUCCUAAAUAAGAAACAAAAUGGAGAGAAAAGAGGAGCGGAAGAGAGUUUUUAUAUUUUCUAGGGUGUGUUUCCAUUUGUACUUCAAUUUAUGAAAUUACAAUUGUGUUUGGGUGCUAAUUUUCUGUGUAUUAUAUUACAAUACAUAAGAUUCAU